rnacentral:rRNA from 1 species
UGACCUCGGAUCAGGUAGGGAUACCCGCUGAACUUAAGCAUAUCAAUAAGCGGAGGAAAAGAAACCAACAGGGAUUGCCCUAGUAACGGCGAGUGAAGCGGCAACAGCUCAAAUUUGAAAGCUGGCCUUCGGGUCCGCAUUGUAAUUUGUAGAGGAUGCUUUGGGGAGGCCGCCUGUCUAAGUUCCUUGGAACAGGACGUCAUAGAGGGUGAGAAUCCCGUAUGUGACAGGAAAUGGCACCCUAUGUAAAGCUCCUUCGACGAGUCGAGUUGUUUGGGAAUGCAGCUCUAAAUGGGAGGUAAAUUUCUUCUAAAGCUAAAUAUUGGCGAGAGACCGAUAGCGCACAAGUAGAGUGAUCGAAAGAUGAAAAGCACUUUUGGAAAGGGAGUUAAAAAGCACGUGAAAUUGUUGAAAGGGAAGCGCUUGCAAUCAGACUUGUCUAAACUGUUCGGCCGGUCUUCUGACCGGUUUACUCAGUUUGGACAGGCCAGCAUCAGUUUCGGCGGCCGGAUAAAGGCUCUGGGAAUGUGGCCCCCACUUCGGUGGGGGUGUUAUAGCCCAGUGUGUAAUACGGCCAGCCGGG